UACAGAGGAUGCAAGCGUUAUCCGGAAUUAUUGGGCGUAAAGCGUCCGCAGGCGGUUUUGUAAGUCUGCUGUUAAAGCGUUAGGCUCAACCUAAUAAGGGCAGUGGAAACUAUGAGACUAGAGUAUGUUAGGGGUAGAGGGAAUUCCCAGUGUAGCGGUGAAAUGCGUAGAGAUUGGGAAGAACACCGGUGGCGAAAGCGCUCUGCUAGGACAAUACUGACACUGAGGGACGAAAGCUAGGGGAGCGAAUGGG
rnacentral:rRNA from 1 species